rnacentral:rRNA from 1 species
UACGGAGGGUGCAAGCGUUAUCCGGAUUUACUGGGUUAAAGGGUGCGCAGGCGGAUAUGUAAGUCAGUGGUGAAAUCUCUGGGCUUAACCCGGAAAUUGCCAUUGAUACUAUAUAUCUUGAAUGUUGUGGAGGUAAGGCGGAAAUAUGUCAUGUAGCGGUGAAAUGCUUAGAUAUGACAUAGAACACCUAUUGCGAAGGCAGCUUACUACGCAGAUAUUGACGCUCAUGCACGAAAGCGUGGGGAUCAAACAGG